rnacentral:rRNA from 1 species
GAUGAACGCUGGCGGCGUGCCUAAUACAUGCAAGUCGAGCGAACAGACGAGGAGCUUGCUCCUCUGACGUUAUCGGCCGUCGGGAGAUUCACUCGUGUAUAACCUACCUAUCAGACUGGGAUAAUUUUGGGAAACCGGAUCUUAUACCGGAUAAUUUAUUGAACCUCAUUGUUCCAUCGUUAAAUUCGGUUUUUCUUUCACUUAUAGAUUGAUCCGGCUCGCAUUAGCUAGUUGGUAAGGUAACGGCUUACCAAGGCAACGAUGCGUAGACGACCUGAGAGGGUCGUCGGCCAGACGGGAACUGAGACACGGUACAGACUCCUACGGGAGGCAGCAGUAGAGAAUCUUCCGCAAUGGGGGAAAGCGUGACGGAGCAAAGCGGCGUGAGGGAUGAAGGACUAAUGAUCGGAAAACUAUGUAGUUAGGGAAGAAGAAAUGUGUAAGUAACUAUGAACGUAUUGACGGUACCUAAUCAGAAAGCUACGGCUAACUCCGUG